AAUACCGGAUACUGACCCGCUUGGGCAUCCAAGCGGUUCGAAAGCUCCGGCGGUGCAGGAUGAGCCCGCGGCCUAUCAGCUUGUUGGUGAGGUAAUGGCUCACCAAGGCGACGACGGGUAGCCGGCCUGAGAGGGCGACCGGCCACACUGGGACUGAGACACGGCCCAGACUCCUACGGGAGGCAGCAGUGGGGAAUAUUGCACAAUGGGCGAAAGCCUGAUGCAGCGACGCCGCGUGAGGGAUGACGGCCUUCGGGUUGUAAACCUCUUUCAGCAGGGAAGAAGCGAAAGUGACGGUACCUGCAGAAGAAGCGCCGGCUAACUACGUGCCAGCAGCCGCGGUAAUACGUAGGGCGCGAGCGUUGUCCGGAAUUAUUGGGCGUAAAGAGCUCGUAGGCGGCUUGUCACGUCGGUUGUGAAAGCCCGGGGCUUAACCCCGGGUCUGCAGUCGAUACGGGCAGGCUAGAGUUCGGUAGGGGAGAUCGGAAUUCCUGGUGUAGCGGUGAAAUGCGCAGAUAUCAGGAGGAACACCGGUGGCGAAGGCGGAUCUCUGGGCCGAUACUGACGCUGAGGAGCGAAAG
rnacentral:rRNA from 1 species